rnacentral:rRNA from 1 species
UACGUAGGAGGCAAGCGUUGUCCGGAUUUAUUGGGCGUAAAGAGCGUGUAGGCGGCCAUACAGGUCCGUUGUGAAAACUGGAGGCUUAACCUCCAGACGUCGAUGGAAACCGUAUGGCUAGAGUCCGGAAGAGGAGAGUGGAAUUCCUGGUGUAGCGGUGAAAUGCGCAGAUAUCAGGAAGAACACCCGUGGCGAAGGCGGCUCUCUGGGGACGGUACUGACGCUGAGACGCGAAAAGCGUGGGGAGCGAACAGG